AGAUUGAACGCUGGCGGAAUGCUUUACACAUGCAAGUCGAGCGGCAGCGCGGGGCAACCUGGCGGCGAGCGGCGAACGGGUGAGUAAUGCAUCGGAACAUGUCCAUUCGUGGGGGAUAGCCCGGCGAAAGCCGGAUUAAUACCGCAUACGCCCUUAGGGGGAAAGCCGGGGACCGCAAGGCCUGGCGCGAAUGGGUUGGCCGAUGCCGAUUAGCUAGUGGCGGGUAAUGGCCCACCAGGCGAUGAUCGGUAGCUGGUCUGAGAGGAUGAUCAGCCACACUGGGACUGAGACACGGCCCAGACUCCUACGGGAGGCAGCGAGUGGGAAUUUGGACUAAGUGGGGCAACCGUGACUCCAGGCCUAGUUCCGCGUGAGUGAAGAACGGCCGUUCGGGUUAGUAAAGUCUUCGUUUUGUACCGGUAACGUAACGGUUGGU
rnacentral:rRNA from 1 species